UACGGAGGGGGCAAGCGUUGUUCGGAAUUACUGGGCGUAAAGGGCGCGCAGGCGGCUGCUCAAGUCAGGCGUGAAAGGCCUGGGCUCAACCCGGGAAUUGCGCUUGAGACUGGGCUGGCUUGAGUGCGGGAGAGGAUGGUGGAAUUCCCAGUGUAGAGGUGAAAUUCGUAGAUAUUGGGAAGAACCCCGGUGGCGAAGGCGGCCAUCUGGACCGCAACUGACGCUGAGGCGCGAAAGCGUGGGGAGCAAACAGG
rnacentral:rRNA from 1 species